UAAUGUAUGGGGAUCUGCCCGAUAGAGGGGAAUAACUACUGGAAACGGUGGCUAAUACCGCAUAAUGUCUACGGACCAAAGCAGGGACUCUUCGGACCUUGCACUAUCGGAUGAACCCAUAUGGGAUUAGCUAGUAGGUGGGGUAAAGGCUCACCUAGGCGACGAUCUCUAGCUGGUCUGAGAGGAUGAUCAGCCACACUGGGACUGAGACACGGCCCAG
rnacentral:rRNA from 1 species